AGACACUGCUGUAGCUGAAUACUUAUCAGGGCGCAUGUAUUGUUAGUGAAAUGGGGAAAUAGCAGAGAAGGAGCUGGAAAAAAAUUAUCCCUUGUUUGUUCAUAAGCAAGAGCAACAAAAUUAAAUCUGUAGGAGAGCUGAACUGCACACACACCAGUCCUUGUAUAACUUUAGAACCCUGGAUGUAUGAAAGUAAGUUCAGCACUGCUCAGCUGUGCCAGCCUCUCAAGCAGUGCAAUUUGAAAGGUGCCCAUGUUCAGAGGAAACCACCUGUUAGGAUGCCUACCUAAGAAAAACAAACUGCACCAGAAAGAAGUAUAUAAGCGUGUGAUUGUCUGAGAAUGGCAUCUCCUUAAAACUCAACUCACAUCAAAAGAACAGGUGCCUUGGAAUUACAGGGAUACCUGAGGCCCUGGCACAUUAAAUACACACUUCAAAAUAAAUUUUGUAGUAAUUGCACUGCUAGACCUACUAAAACCCUGCUCACAGGCCAGUUUCUGAGCAGUACCAUGGUCAGAGAAAACACUUGACUGCAGUUAUCCAUUCCUCUUCUUCCCAUGGCUAGGAUGUCUUCUUCAGGAUUGAAUUGACCUCCUCCUAAGUCUAGGGCAUAAUUUUUGUUUCCUGGUGGCUUUAUUGUGAAAGUGCAUCUCUCUAUGGUUUUGAUUUAUUGCUGUUUUUCACAGAGUGAG